CCUACGGGGGGCUGCAGUGAGGAAUAUUGGUCAAUGGCCGGAAGGCUGAACCAGCCAAGCCGCGUGAAGGACGAAGGUGCCAAGCAUUGUAAACUUCUUUUGCCAAGGGACAAAAUAAGGCUCGAGACCCUGACCGAGGGUACUUGAAGAAAAAGCACCGGCUACCUCCGUGCAAGCAGCCGCGCUAAUGCGGAGGGUGCGAAGGUUAUCUGAAUUUAUUGGGUUUAAAGGGUGCGUAGGCGGGGUGUUAAGUCAGCGGUAAAAGCCCGGGGCUCAACCCCGGCGAGCCGUUGAAACUGGCAGUCUUGAGAGGUCGAGAGGAAAGCGGAAGGAGCGGUGUAGCGGUGAAAUGCUUAGAUAUCGCGCAGAACUCCGAUUGCGAAGGCAGCAUACCGGCGGCGAUCUGACGCUGAGGAACGAAAGCAUGGGUAUCGAACAGGAUUAGAUACCCUAGUAGUC
rnacentral:rRNA from 1 species